ACAGGGGGAUAACUGAUGGAAACGUCAGCUAAGACCGCAUAGGUGUAGAGAUCGCAUGAACUCUAUAUGAAAAGUGCUACGGGACUGGUAGAUGAUGGACUUAUGGCGCAUUAGCUGGUUGGUAGGGUAACGGCCUACCAAGGCGACGAUGCGUAGCCGACCUGAGAGGGUGACCGGCCACACUGGGACUGAGACACGGCCCAGACUCCUACGGGAGGCAGCAGUAGGGAAUUUUCGGCAAUGGGGGAAACCCUGACCGAGCAACGCCGCGUGAAGGAAGAAGUAAUUCGUUAUGUAAACUUCUGUCAUAGAGGAAGAACGGUGGAUAUAGGGAAUGAUAUCCAAGUGACGGUACUCUAUAAGAAAGCCACGGCUAACUACGUGCCAGCAGCCGCGGUAAUACGUAGGUGGCGAGCGUUAUCCGGAAUUAUUGGGCGUAAAGAGGGAGCAGGCGGCACUAAGGGUCUGUGGUGAAAGAUCGAAGCUUAACUUCGGUAAGCCAUGGAAACCGUAGAGCUAGAGUGUGUGAGAGGAUCGUGGAAUUCCAUGUGUAGCGGUGAAAUGCGUAGAUAUAUGGAGGAACACCAGUGGCGAAGGCGACGAUCUGGCGCAUAACUGACGCUCAGUCCCGAAAGCGUGGGGAGCAAAUAGGAUUAGAUACCCUAGUAGUCCACGCCGUAAACGA
rnacentral:rRNA from 1 species